AUGUGUUCGGUUCUGAUAAAAAGGUGCCGAAACCACCCAGCUGCUGAGUUACAGUCAGAGCACGGGCUUUUUGUAUCCUCUUCAAGAGAAAGAGUGAUUGUCAGCACUGUCAUUGAUUUUGUGCACUUCUUCAGCGAAAUAAAGGUUUGCGUAGGUUAUAUUUCAUUUAUAAAGUCUUUACUGUGCUGUAAAUUAUAAUAUUAUGCAACACAACAUAAGGACGAGUCAGUCAGCUGCAUCAGCAGUGGUCAUGAUGGAAACGCCUUUUGUCUUUCAUAACAUAAAUGGAUUUUAUUCGCUAUUAUACUGAGUUUAAUUUAAUUUGAUGUUAAAAUAUGUUCUCUAAUCUCAGUACUGUUUGUUUAUGGGCAGGUUUUGAAGUCAGUCAUGACAUCUCUCAGCUACGAGUGAAAUGCGAGGCCGCGGUCUAAAAUUCGCAGUUCCCCCGCAAACAGCAGCCCUUCACCGACACAUCUGCAUGAGAAUUAGCACUAUUUUGGUAAAAAGUGAUCACAGAGAAUGGUUGAAUACAUUUAAAUUAAAAUGCUACUUUUAAAUGUUACAUUUAUUUAUUAAAAUGCUUGUUAAACGAGUUAAAAUGUAUGUAAUAUUGUAAACUAUGCUGUAUUCACCCAAAUAAAUUCAAUUUGUCUUAUAUUUUGUAUUUUGUUCUCGCUUAAUAAAUGUUCAUCUUUUGAUUAUUGCUGUUGCCUCUAGUAAUUAUAUUUGUGAUUUUUAAUUUCCUGCCCAUUUUAAGGCAGUAAUAUAAUAAUUUUUAAACAAUAGUUGACUUAAAUAAAACAACCCAGCAUGUUGGGUAAAAACAUUAACCCAACGAGCUGGGUUAAAAUAACCCAGCAUGUGUUUUGUCUAAUAUUUACCCAGCGUUGGGUUGCCAAAUAACUCAAGUUGGGUUGUUUUUAUCCCAGCAUUUUUUAGAUUGUAUAAACACAAUGACAGCAGCAUCCAGUAAUGUACAGUGGAUAACGUGCAGGCUCCAGUAUACCUUAAGAUGUUGUAUAAUGUUAUAAAAAAACAAAAAAAACAAAUGGUUUUAUUGCACAAACAUUACAUCUCAUCUACUAUGGAGACUCUAUUAGCUCAAACUUGUUUUGAUCUGUGACCAUUUACUAUUUCCAUCCGCUAUUAUUAGACAUUGUUUUUACCGAUCGG
rnacentral:lncRNA from 12 species